AGUGAACGCUGGCGGUAGGCCUAACACAUGCAAGUCGAACGGCAGCACAGUAAGAGCUUGCUCUUACGGGUGGCGAGUGGCGGACGGGUGAGGAAUACAUCGGAAUCUACUUUUUCGUGGGGGAUAACGUAGGGAAACUUACGCUAAUACCGCAUACGACCUACGGGUGAAAGCAGGGGAUCUUCGGACCUUGCGCGUUUGAAUGAGCCGAUGUCGGAUUAGCUAGUUGGCGGGGUAAAGGCCCACCAAGGCGACGAUCCGUAGCUGGUCUGAGAGGAUGAUCAGCCACACUGGAACUGAGACACGGUCCAGACUCCUACGGGAGGCAGCAGUGGGGAAUAUUGGACAAUGGGCGAAAGCCUGAUCCAGCCAUACCGAGUGGGUGAAGAAGGACUUCGGGUUGUAAAGCCCUUUUGUUGGGAAAGAAAAGCAGCAGGUUAAUACCCCGCUGUUCUGACGGUACCCAAAGAAUAAGCACCGGCUAACUUCGUG
rnacentral:rRNA from 1 species